UUUGCAUAUUCACAAAAGCGGAGGAAAAGAAACUAACAAGGAUUCCCCUAGUAGCGGCGAGCGAAGCGGGAAGAGCUCAAAUUUAUAAUCUGGCACCUUCGGUGUCCGAGUUGUAAUCUCUAGAAAUGUUUUCCGCGUUGGACCGCACACAAGUCUGUUGGAAUACAGCGGCAUAGUGGUGAGACCCCCGUAUAUGGUGCGGACGCCCAGCGCUUUGUGAUACAUUUUCGAAGAGUCGAGUUGUUUGGGAAUGCAGCUCAAAUUGGGUGGUAAAUUCCAUCUAAAGCUAAAUAUUGGCGAGAGACCGAUAGCGAACAAGUACCGUGAGGGAAAGAUGAAAAGCACUUUGGAAAGAGAGUUAACAGUACGUGAAAUUGUUGGAAGGGAAACGCUUGAAGUCAGACUUGCUUGCCGAGCAAUCGGUUUGCAGGCCAGCAUCAGUUUUCCGGGAUGGAUAAUGGUAGAGAGAAGGUAGCAGUUUCGGCUGUGUUAUAGCUCUCUGCUGGAUACAUCUGUGGGGGACUGAGGAACGCAGUGUGCCUUUGGCGGGGGUUCGACCUCUCACACUAUUCACGCCCUAUUUGAG
rnacentral:rRNA from 1 species